GGACCACUGGAUAUGCUUCCUCAUUUAUCCUAAGGUUGGAAAGGUGCUGGUGCUCGACUCCUUGAACUUCGACCCUUCGACAUAUGCAACAUUCCUCAGCAUCUUAGAGCUUGCUUAUAGAUUCUAUAAGAUGAAAGGUGGAAAGUACGACCUGUCGAAAAAACUCGUGCCACUAGACAUCCAUCAUCACUGGCCGUGCCACAAGCAACCACAAGGAUCGGUCCUAUGUGGAUUCUAUGCGUGCGAGUUCAUGAGAGUGAACGGACGAUACAUCACGAACCCUGACAAGCAAUUUCAACGAGGAAACCCGGAG
rnacentral:misc_RNA from 1 species